rnacentral:misc_RNA from 1 species
GCCCUUAACGUUUUGCUCCAUUUUUUCAUCUGACUGUCUCGUCCGUCGCCGCCGACUUAAGUCGUUGAACUCUCUUACUCUCCCGGCGUAAUUUCAUCAGAUCUGGGCGUCUCUUUUAUAGAAACCACUUUUGGCGCUUUGCAGAAAGACAUAAUUGAUAAAUCUGAAAGAGUCAUGGUCCAAGGAGUUGAGAAGGAGGGUAUGCUUCGUAAGCUGGAGAAGAAAUCCAAGAAAAGCAAUAAGAAUGCUGCCUCAAGUGGUCUUGGAGGAGAGAGUGAUGAGUGUGACGUUAAGAGAAAGAAAAAAAGAGAAGGUGGAAAACCCAACAAAGUCAGCGAUGAAUAUGCUGUGAAAUGUGUUGAGAAAAAGAAAAAGAAUAAGCUGAAGAAAAGCUACUUGAAUGAGCCUUUAGACACCAAAACUAGUGCUCCUGCAAGUGCAACUGAAAUGCGGGACAAUGACAAGGUAGUUGAGACCCUUGGUGAGGUCUCUGGUGGAGACGUUGUGGACGUGAUUACAAGGAAGAAGAAGUCCAAGAAAAACAUUAAGACUAUCAAUGGUGUAGAUGUGACAAACACUGAUAUUAAAGUUAAGAGUGAUGACUCUGACAUCAAGAGAAAGAAAGAAAGAAAACAUGGAAAACGUUCUGGGAAGUUUAGUGAAGACAGCAAUGAGGUUACGAGAAUUAUUGAAGGGAAUAAAAGUAGGAAAUUGAAGAAAAGCUGUGGGGAUGAGCUGGAGAAAAUGCAUGAUACUAAGGAUAUACGUGAAGAUUUUGCUGCUGAAGUCAAUGAAGGUGAUAUUUUUUCACCUAUAGAGAUGGAAGAUAAAAUCAAAACAGACAAAGGUAAAAUCAAAAAGAGAAAAAGGGAAAAAGUAGGACACAGCUCUGAAGAUCCUACACAUGAAAAGAGUGAAAAGAGAGUGAGAUUUUCUGGUCAGGUUCAGAUUUUCCCUUCAUUGAAUGAUUCAAGUGAUGAGAAGCAUGAGAUCGAGGAAGAAAAUUUAGUGCAUGGCAAGCGAUUCUCAAAGUUAGAAGAUGAAAUUAUCAAAG